GCCGGCGAUGGGCGCAGGCGGCGCCCGGCCCAGGAGCUGAGCCCGCGCCAACCCUUCCCUCCUGCCGCUCUCUCCAGCUGGCAGAGGACAGGAGCCGAGCGGCCGAGCACCUGCGCCGGGCGCUGCACUACCUGCAGAGCUCACAGGAGUCCCUGCGAGAGGCGGCCGUCAGGUUCAUGGGCAUGGCCGGGCGGCACCUGAGGGGGCAGCAGCAAGAGCUCCAGCUGAUCUGCACGGCCCUUGAAGGAAUGGCGUAUGACAGCAGUCCUGCAAUCAGAGAUGCUGCAGUAGAAUUUUGUGUAGUUCUCCGGGCUCUUGAGAGAGCUCCCUACUCCCCAUGGCAGAAGCUGCGAGAUCGAUUCCGCAGUGCAUGGAGGAAACGGCCUCGUCUU